GGAGUGCUGGGAGACGGGGCCGUGGCACUGUAUGAGAUUCAUGUAGGCUUUCUCACAGUGAACCGGUCUCUUUUUCCAGCCCUCA
rnacentral:pre_miRNA from 8 species